rnacentral:misc_RNA from 1 species
AAGUCGUAACAAGGUCUCCGUAGGUGAACCUGCGGAGGGAUCACUAUAGCAAAAACUUUACUGCCAGGAGAGGGGGGGGGAGGGGAGAGGAAAUGCCUUUUCUGCUCUUGUCCUUCUUUUCCUGGACAAACAAUCAACACACAUGACUAGGAAAGGAAAGGGAAAUGAUUUGUAUACACACAAGAAGAAGAAGAAGAAGAAGUUCUUGUCUGAUAAGUAGCUUGUUGAGUUACUACACAUCAAUACAACUUUCAACAACGGAUCUCUUGGCUCUCA